CAACACUAGGAUCAAUGUCAACCUACCUAGAUCUUGAUUCUAGGUUCUCUUGUUUAACCUAUGUUCACGACACUAGGUUCACGACACUAGAUUCAACAUCGUUCUUAUUCAUCCUAGGUUCUCGAUCCUAGGUUCAUAUUCGACCUAUGUUAUAUAACACUAGGUUCGGUGCCACUCGAUCUAGUUGACCCUACUUGUCCACAUCGAGUUUCUAUAAUCAUAUAUAUACUCUAGCACAUGUCUACAAUGCCAUUAUGCAUCUUAUUUAACAAGCGCAUAUAAUGUUAUAUGCACCUAGCAUACAUUCCAAUGCACACAUAUACAUUACACUUGCAUCUACUUACUAGCAUGUACUUUCAUAAUGUUAAUAUGCCAUACCAUCUAACAUGUAUCCACAUGAUGCUCUUAUGCAUUUUAGUUCACUCAACAAACAUAUUAACAUGAAAUCGAAUACUUAGCAUCUUUAUAUCAUGUCGUCACCUAGCAUAUAAUUAUGAUGCAUUAACAUGCAACUACCAAUUAGCAUGCAUUUACAUAAUGCUAACAUGUAUAUACGUUUAACAAUUUCUCAUAACUCAUAUGAUUAACAUUCAUUUAUAUGCUCAUGUUCUCUAGCAUGCUUUCCUACAUGUCAACAUGAAUCUAUAAUGCUAACAUGUUCAUAUGCACAUACAUUUAUGCAUCAACAAGGAUUCACAUUCUGCUUUGACAUGCGGGGCGACCAAGUCGCUUCGGUAAGUACAACCCACCUUAGCUAGCUUUCCGAUUGCUAGUAGUCACUUGCAAUCGGCCGCCCGCGGCACCCGGCACCCGGUUUGGCCCGAUCCCUCGCGCGACCACCCGAACAGCCUCCAAUCCACGAUAUGGAAAUUAAAGGUCUUUGGUGAUGUGCCACGGUGCUUCAAAUCCGUUUUCACGAUUUUACGACGUCACCUCGGCCCUCCAGGCGGAAACGAAGCCUAAACGUCCGUUUCUUUAAUAACUUUGUAACGGCUCGUUGGAUUGCCGAACCGUCUUCGCCAACGCGUUUCGUUACCUAACAAUUAGAUUUACGAAGGGUUAAUUGAGAUCAAACCCAACUAUUUUCAAAAAAUUGCAUUUUGAACCCUAGGUUACAACUAUGCAAGAAAUCACCAAAUCCCUUCACGAAUUAAGCAUCAAUCAUCUAGAUAGCAUGCUAGGAUUCCUCUAAAUCCAUUUCUAGAGAUCAAAACCACAUAUCUAGAGAUCUACCAUGAGAGGGCUCAAAAAGCUCACCUCAAAACUUGCUUCAAACCAUGGAGAAGAUGGAGAAGAUGAAGGUGAUUCACUUCCAAGCUUCAAUCUCUACCAAUUUCUUUAAUUUUGGGAGAGAUUUAGAGAGAGAAAGGGAGGUUUCUCUCUCUCCCUCUACAUGCGUGUGUGUGUGUGUGUGUGUGUGUGUCUCGAUCUGUCGUGUGUGUGUGUCAUGUGUGUGUGUAUUGCAUUCGGCUGAGGAAGAAGAAAGGGAUUAAUCCCCUUUUACACUUUAGUCCCUCAACUAUGCACUAUUUAUUUCGGAUAGUUUAGAAACUGAUAUUUUUCGUCGGAGCACUUCUGAAUGUCCGUUUGAGCUCAAAUUUGACAGGCAGGCUCGGUUUUACUUAAUAAGUCCAAAAAAUUUUAAUAUUUCAGUUUCGACUCCGUUUGGUCACCGAAAACUGUACCGAACUGUAAUCUUUAUCAGAUAGCUUUCGGAUUCUAUUUCUCUCUUUACAGGUGUUAGAAUGGUAUGAAACUUUAAAUCUAGCCUCAUAAAAAUAUUUCUGACUUAUCCUCCAAUUUUCAUAAUUUUCUGAGACUGUGCAUUUUCUGCUAAUUUAUCGGUCCCGUUUCCAACAGAAAAUUCUAAAUCUUCUGUUUUCAUUCCGAUUUCAGCACAAGUNACAGAAAAUUCUAAAUCUUCUGUUUUCAUUCCGAUUUCAGCACAAGUCAUUUCUGACUUAUAUUUUACUUCUCUAAAUUCAAUAAAAAUAGCUUCUCACACUAUUUUCAUUUAUUUUUAUUUUUAUACCAAAAUUUGGUAUGUUACAGAUUGCGACACCGAGGCCGCCAUCUCCAGGGCCCGGUACUCCGAGGACAUCACCGGAUAUUGCGCCUCGGGGAGAGGAGUUCAUGGCACCACCGGCGCGAGCAUCUGUAGCGGGGGUGAUUUUCCCCGCGAUGGCUGAGGGAGCCCAGCGGGAUCGGCUCAUGGAGCGCCUUAGUGAGUUCAGGCGAUGCAGUCCACCGACCUUUGACGGGGAGAACGUGGACCACUAGAUAGUGGAGAAAUGGCUUAUGCAUAUGGAGAAGCUAUUUCGAGAUACCUUUUGUAGAGGAGAGGGGCAGAGUGUGGCUCGCCACACACUUCUUGGACGGCGAGGCCUACCGUUGGUAGUUGGAUAUCCUAGACAACCCCAACACAGACUUGGCAGCGAUCUCUUGGGCGAGGUUUAAGGAGCCGCUUCUGGCGCACUACUUCCCUACCAGCGCCAAGAGGAAAAUAGAGCAGGACUUGUGCAGCUUGGCCAGGAGGAGCGGUCUGUGGCCGAGUACGAGAGGGAGUUUUCUCGGCUACUUCACUGUGUACCAUUUGUGGUGCGGGAUGACGAGAAUAAGGCCCGCAUUUUUUAGCAUGGGUUGCGGCCUUCGAUCUUCCGGUUAGUGUAGUCCUCUAACCUCCAAACCUACCGGGAGGUUGUGGACCGUGCACUUGUAACACACUGGACCUUUGCAAAUUGCGAGGUUCGAGUGUUUGGUUGUAUUUCGAGCUUUUCCACACUUGGUGGAGGGUUGUAAAAUGUUCCCCGACCCGAAAAGUUCGAAAACUGGAACUUUGGACAAGUCCUGAGAGUUUUUACUCUCGGGGACCGGUCCCUGGAGGGAGAGACCGGUCCCCCCAGUGAGCAGUGUUGAGGCGGCCUGAGGCAAUCGGUCCCUGGCAGGCGAGACCGGUUCCCGAACGCGUCUUCGCAGUGAGAGACCGGUCNNNNNNNNNNNNNNNNNNNNNNNNNCACGUGACGGAACUGGGCGCGGGGGACAUGCGCCCUCGAGCGACGUCACACGGUGCUGGCGGUGUGGGACCUAGGUCUUCCCUCGAAGGCUGCCGCCUGCUGAAGUAGGAGGUCUCGAGUGCUUCAUCGCGCCUUCCUGCCGCUGCGAGCUACCUUAGCCUGUCGCUGCGCGCUUGCCGUCUGCUGCCGCAAGAGAUCAGUGAGGGACCGCAAGCUGGCCCUUCAAGUCCGGAACCUCACUUAGAUCCGGAAUUAGCGGAGGUCUCGACCUCCUCGGGGUGUGCCGCCAUCAUCCGCCCCGGCAGACUGGAGCGAGUACUCGGCAUUGUCACUACAGAACAUAAAGCGCAAGUAGUAAACCACCUAUCGCUUCCCCGCUCAAGUAGAUAAAAACCCCAAUCAUGCGAAGUAAGGAAGUGUCCUUUACUACUAACUCCCGCAUGUUACGUUGUCGGCCGUCAACGGUAACUUUCCGCGAAGUUAGGACCUUACACUCGAUCAAACUCUAACUUUUUUAGAGUUGUUAAGUUCACCCAAUCAGGAUCUUUCUGCUCACAAGUCGAAUUAGACUCGCUCUCCGAAGCCUAUUCCUAUAGUUCCAACGGCCUAAGGUUCGCUAAUCCCUAGACUCAACCCUAGGCCUCUGAUUACCAAAUUAAUCUGUACGCCCCGGGACCGGGCGGAGCGCCCUCCUGGUAGCGUGCCCAGACCCGCCUAUGUCUACAACAUAUUAAGGCGUCUAAGGAAGCGGAAGAAAAUGCAAGAAGAUGGAGCAUAAUGAAGAAUGAAGUUAACAAGCAACUAAUGAUAUCAGAGCGAAUAAGUUCUAAAAUCUUAUGCUAAUAGUAAUAGAAACAUAACUAAUACAUAAGUAGAGAAAUUGACAUAGUUAUAUACAGUAUCAGCCUCUUAAAUCAAAUGAAUGGUGGUCUCUAGUCACACCCCGGGCAAAGCUCAACGCCUCUUCCAAAUAAAAUACAUACGAGAGGUAACCACCUAGCAAGUCGUCUCGUAGGAAGUAGCUCGAAGCCAACACUCCUUCCCCGGUCCGUAGCCUCACCCUGAGUGGAAGGCCUGAAAAACAUCGAGAAAUGAGGGCGUGAGAAUAUAAUUUAUAGUUCCCAGUGGGCAAUUACUGACCUCAGCUCAUCUCCAUAGGCCCCAAAAUUAAGGGUAAGCAACGAUAACAAUAAUGAUAAGGCAAUAAGGAGCAUGUAAUAUAAACCUUGCUGAAAGAAAGCACAAUUGGAUGCCUAGUUUCUACCUAUGGUCUCAAGUAAACAUGAUGUCAACCAAAUGUACAUCUAUUCUAUCCCUUACAAUUAAGUGUCCAAUGGCACUAGUUAUUGUUGUUAAGCUUUUCAAUGCAUAUGUAGUGUUCUAUCAUGGCAACAAGUAUACUACAUGUCUGCAACACUAUGACUAAAAGCAUGUAAUGUAAUCCAACUACUAAGUCUAUCUAGAGUGAUCAUUCAGUCUCAAACCGUGUCCGAUUUCGAUUUCCAAUUGACCUACCCAAGCGUGUCCAGCUUGUCGCCUAAGUGCCUGUGUAGCCCACAUCCCUACUUUGGAAUGUGUCUGUCCCACUCGACCCGUAGGCUUCUCAAUACGACACCGAGCGAACAUAGGUCGCGAUAGGCAACUCCGGGUGCGCGGCUUGUGGGAGCGACCCUCACGAGCAUUGUCGAAUUGAGCACAAAUGGCAAACAAGCAAGUCACUGUCUCAAGUAACCAACCUAUGUCUCUACCCCACCCCCCCCUGGGUAUAGUCUACUAGGCAUCCGAAGAUCUAGUGUCAAAGUCAUAAUGUGACAGUCCAACACACACUUGCUCAAGUGCCUCUUUAUGAGACAGCUUAAGCUCCACAACUGAUCAUGUUUCAUUCAAGGACAUUAACAUUAACGCUGCUAUGCCCGUGGCCCCAAUUGGCCUCUUUCAUGACAUUGGCCAAUCUCGACAUAUCGCAUAAUCUCUAAGCCUCUCUAGGCUUCCAAAUAAUCCCUAAAUGUCACAACUGGUAUAUAUUUGAACAUGCAUGAAAGCAAGGUCGUUUCAUAAUGGGAUUGUAAUUUCAAGCUCAACUUAGAAUGCUAGGCCACGUAUGCAUGCUCUCUAAUAUAUACGAGGUCCGUCAAAAUUUACUACAAUAUGACCUAUACAGUUAAGCAUUCUAAAAUUCAUAUUAAAUAAUUUAACAUGGAAAUGCAUGAAUUUCUAUUUUACGAAAACUAUUUGCCAUAUAUGAGCAUUUGUUCAUACUCAUAGGCUAGGUUCAAACUCACCGAAUCGUCCGUAGGGGAUGCCUCGAUUCGCCGAACAAGUUGUCCCGGAGUCCCAAAACCCUAAAGUAAUGCAGCGAAGAGAUCGAGGGCAUUACGUACCAUCCGAGAGAUCAAACAAUUACUAGAGCAAAAAUGGCCAAAAUUGUACCUCAGAGUAGAAAUCUCUCCCAAAGCUCACAAAGAGAGCUAGAAGCCUUUCCAAUCCAGCCCAGGAAGUUCUAACCAUCGAUCUAGCCCAAAGCCUAGCAUAAAAAACCCAAAAUAAAGCCCUCAAAUCUCAUUUAAGGGUUCAUCUCCAAAAUCACAAAAACAAGAAAUCUAGAGGAGGGGAUUAAAAUGAUACCGAAACUCCUGUAAGCUCCAAAUCCAAAGCCCAAAUGCCCUGGCGGUGGAGUGCGUCCACGCACUAAGCUCUACAAGGCAGCUCAAGCCUUGCAAGGUGGAAAGAGGGAAAGGCGGUUGAGCUCCAAAGCUCCCUCAAGCAAAUCCCCUCUUCUUCUCCUCCUCCUCCUCUUCUCCUUCUCUCUGCUAGAUGUGGGGGAGAGGUUGAGAAAUGACGUGGAAGAGAGGGGGAAUGGCGUAAUAAAGACCCAUCUAAUGUAACAAAAUCAGUGAGGCUCUUCAAAAAUCCAAAAUUUGCAUCAGCCCGAACUGGGAGUUUUCGCCCAGAGGACGGUCUCUCCCCACCAGGACCUGUUCUCUCGCGGCAGAGCGACAAACCAGCGUUCGGGAACCGUCUCUCCGCUGCGCGGAUUUACAUGCUUUUAGCAUAGUGUGAGACAUGUAGUAUACUUGGUUGCCAUGAUAGAACACCUACAUCAUGCAUUGACAAAGGUUAACAACAUUAAACUAGUGCCAAUUGGACUUAAUUGUAAGGAUAGAAUAGAUGUACAUUUUGGUUGACAUCAUGUUUACUUGAGACACAGUAGACUAGCAUUCCAAUUGUGCUUUCUUUCAGCAGUUUAUUUACAUGCUCCUUAUUGCUUAUCAUUAUUGUUAUCGUUGCUUACCCUUAUUUUUGGGGCCUAGUGGAGCAUGAGCUGAGGUCAGUAAUUGCCCACUGGGAACUAUAAAUUAUAGUUCUCACGCCCUCUUUUCUCGAUGUUUUUCAGAGCCUUCCACUCAGGGUGAGGCUAGGGACCGCGGGAAGGGAGUUGCUUCGAGCUAGCUUCCUACGAGGACGACUUGCUAGGUGGUCUACCUCUCGUUGUAUUUUAUUUUGGAGAGGUUGAGAGCUUUUGCCCGUGUACUAGAGACCACCAUUUUUGUAUUAGAGGCUGAUACUGUAUAACUUAUGUCUACUUUUAUGUAUUAGUUAUGUUCUAUUACUAUUAGUAUAGAUGUUAGAACUUUAUUCGCUCUGAUAUCAUUAGUUGCUUGUUACUUCACUUCUUUCAUUUGCUCCAUCUCUUGCUUUUACUUCCGCUUUUCUUGUAGACGCCUUAUAUGUGUAGACAUAUGGCGGGUCUGGGCACGCUACCAGGAGGGCCUCCGCCGGUCCCGGGGCGUGACAGCACUCAUUGUGGAGGCUGGAGCGGCAGACCGUCAGAAGCGACGUGAGGCCUUAGACAAGGGCAAGGGCAAGAGGACAGCGGCUAAGGGUGCGAGUCAGAUGCACUCACGGAGGCCGCCGAGGCAUCCCAAGAGCCAGAGCCAGUUGCGAGGAUGUGGCCAGUCUACUUAGACGGGAGGACCUGACCGACGCCAGGCUCCGCGCUGCGUGAUUUGCGGUGGUCCCCAUUUCCCACGGCAGUGUUCACAUAGUCGGGGCAGGUGCUUUCUGUGUGGCCAGGAGGGCCACUUUCAGUCGGACUGCCCGAGGGGUUCAGCGCCAGCGCCAUCAUCGGCAUCAACACCAGCUUCACUGGGUCCCAGCCAGGGGACACUUCCUGCACCUCACCAGGCCGGGCGGCCACCUGUCCAGCGACAUAUGGAGAGGUCACGACAGUCCCCGAGCGGGCGCAUAUACGCGGCCUAGACUGAGGAGGCGGCAGCAGCCGAGAAUGUGGUCGCAGGUAUCAUUUUACUUUAUGGUAUUCGAGUACGAGCAUUGUUUGAUACCGGUGCAUCGCAUUCAUUCAUAGACCGGCUGUUUGCCGAGUUGCAUGGCAUCCCAUUGACAUCUUUGUUGCAUCCUGGACGAGUUGUUGUAGCCGAUCAUUCUUUAGAUAUUCAGGAGUUCUGCCCCAGUUGCCCUGUUCGGGUUGGAGAUUGGAUUAUGCCCGUAGACCUUUUAGCUUUGCAUAAACUCGGGGAGUUUGAUGUUGUCUUGGGCAUGGAUUGGUUGACUAAGUACUACGCCACUAUCGAUUGCAAGGAUCGAACUGUAACAUUUAGAGAGCCGGGGCAGGCGGAGGUUGCUAGAGUUCGCUAUUUGCGAUGACGGUUAGCUCCUCUCGAGCUAGGCAGUUGAUUAGUAGAGGCUGUGUGGCCUACUUGGCUACUGUUGUGUUGAGGGGUGAUGAUGAUGCCCCCAGGAUUGAGGAUAUCCCCGUAGUGCGGGAGUUUGGAGAUAUAUUUCCAACAGAGAUUCCAGGCAUGCCACCUGAUAGGGAGAUUGAGUUUGUGGUAGAUCUCGUCCCCGGGACUACUCCAAUCUCAAAGGCGCCCUAUAGGAUGGCACCAGCAGAAUUGAGAGAGCUGAAGGCAUAGUUGGAGGAUCUUUUGGAUAAGGGUUUUGUGCGACCGAGUGUGUCACCUUGGGGAGCACCGGUCCUAUUUGUUAAGAAAAAGGAUGGAUCACUUAGCUUAUGCGUGAACUAUCGUGAACUUAACAAAAUCACGAUUAAGAAUAAGUAUCCAUUACCGAGGAUCGACGAUCUAUUUGACCAGUUACAGGGAUCCAAUGUGUAUUCCAAGAUCGACCUGCAGUCGGGAUAUCACCAGCUAAAGAUCAAGCCUGAGGAUGUGUCAAAGACAGCUUUUAGAACACGGUAUGGACAUUAUGAGUUUACUGUGAUGCCGUUCGGGCUUACUAAUGCCUCGGCAGCUUUUAUGGAUCUUAUGAACCGUGUGUUUAAGCUUUAUCUAGACAGGUUUGUCGUGGUUUUCAUCGAGUAUUCCCAGAGUGAUGCGGAUCACGAGGAACACUUGAGACUUGUACUUCAAGUGCUUCGGAAAAAGAAGCUCUACACCAAGUUGAAGAAGUGUGAAUUUUGGCUUAGAGAGGUGGUGUUUUUGGGCCAUGUGAUUUCAGGAUCAGGCAUAGCCGUGGACCCGAGAAGGAUUGAAGCUAUCAAGGAUUGGCCAAGGCCGACGAGUGUCAUAGAGAUUCGGAGCUUUCUUGGUUUGGCCGGCUACUACCGACGGUUUGUUGAGGGAUAUGCAAGAUUAUCUACUCCCCUCACGAGGCUCACGCAUAAAGGCACCAAGUUCAUUUGGAUUGAUGCGUGUGAAAGGAGCUUCCAAGAGUUGAAGCAGAGACUGACUACCGCCCCGAUCCUAACCUUGCCAGUUACUGGGGCAGGGUAUGUGAUUUAUAGCGACGCUUCCUUUAAUGAAUUGGGAUGUGUUUUAAUGCAGGACGGGAAGGUGAUCGCAUAUGCUUCUCGCCAACUAAAGGAUUAUGAAAGGAAUUAUCCUACUCACGACUUGGAAUUGGCGGCCGUGGUCUUUGCAUUGAAGCUAUGGUGCCACUAUUUAUACGGCGAGCGAUGUGAAGUGUAUACGGAUCACAAAAGCUUAAAGUAUCUAUUCACUCAGAAAAAGUUGAACUUGAGGCAGCGCAGAUGGUUGGAGCUACUCAAGGAUUAUGACUUGACUAUUCUUUACCACCCAGGCAAGGCUAACGUGGUGGCGGAUGCGCUAAGUAGGAAAUCGACGAAAAACUUAGCGAUGCUUGUGGUUACUCAACCGCAAUUGAUCGAGCAGAUGAAGCGGUUGGAGUUGGAGGUGGUGGCUCCUGAUACACCUUUGAGAUUGAUGACUUUGGUGGUGCAACCUACACUUGUGGAAAGAAUUAAAGAAAAGCAAGUCUCCGACGUGGAGUUGCAAAGGAUUCGAGCUAAAAUGAUGAAUGGUUGCACCAGUGACUUCUCUGUGGACGGUGUGGGAUUGAUGCGUUUCCGCGGACGGAUUUAUGUACCGGUGGAUCUGGACAUUAAAGAAGAAAUUCUUCAAGAGGCACACCGGGCACUGUAUGCUAUACAUCCGGGAGGCACCAAAAUGUACAAGGACUUAAAGUUGCUUUAUUGGUGGCCCGGGAUGAAGAAAGACGUUGGUGAGUUUGUUGCUAGAUGUUUAACUUGUCAACAGGUGAAAGCUGAACACCGGGUCCCCGCGAGGAAAUUACAGAGCUUACCGAUUCCGGUGUGGAAAUGGAAAAAGAUCACCAUGGACUUUGUGAUGGGAUUGCUCUGCUCGCAUGCCGGGCAUGAUGCUAUUUGGGUGAUCGUGAAUAGAUUGACGAAAUCGGCACAUUUCAUACCUAUCCACACUACUUGGACUGGUGAGAGACUUGCACAGAUAUACUUGGAUGAGAUUGUGCGAUUGCACGGGGUACCUACUUCUAUAGUAUCAGAUCGAGACCCCCGUUUUGUAUCUCACUUUUGGAGGAGUCUACAGGAUGCCUUGGGCACGCGCUUGGACUUCAGUACAGCUUUCCACCCUCAGAGUGAUGGGCAGUCAGAGCGCACUAUAAAGACACUUGAGGACAUGCUUCGAGCCUGUGUGAUUGACUUCCAAGGAGGAUGGUCACAGCAUUUACCAAUGGCAGAGUUUGCUUAUAACAACAGUUAUCAAGCAAGCAUCAAGAUGGCGCCAUUCGAGGCACUUUAUGGAUGGAAGUGUAGAUCGCCACUUNUUCGAGGCACUUUAUGGAUGGAAGUGUAGAUCGCCACUUCAUUAGAGUAAAGUUGGCGAGAGAUUGGCUUUAGGCCCCGAUGUGCUCCAGGAAGCAGAGGACAAGGUUCGUAUUGCUAGGGAGCGACUGUUGACAGCCCAGAGUAGGCAAAAGAGUUAUGUUGAUAAGCGUCGACGAGACUUGGAGUUUUAGAUUGGAGAUCAUGUCUUCUUGAAACUCUCGCCGACCAGAGGGAUUAGGAGAUUUGGAAUUCGAGGUAAGUUGAGCCCCUGAUUCAUUGGACCGUAUGAGGUUUUGGAGCGUGUAGGCCCGGUAGCGUAUCGACUUGCUCUACCGCCAAACCUAUCGGGUGUGCACAAUGUGUUUCAUGUAUCGGUUCUUCGGAGGUACAUCCAUGAUUCGGCUCACGUGUUGGAUGCUACACCAGUGGAGCUGAGGGAUGAUCUGAGCUUUGAAGAGCAACCUUUAAGGAUUUUGGCUCGUGAGAUAAAGAGGCUGCGGAACGAUGAGAUUUCCUACGUGAAAGUGCUUUGAAGCAACCACGACGAGCGCGAGACCACUUGGGAGUUGGAGAGCGCUCUGCGAGAGCGCUACCCCCAUCUUUUUCAGAUGGAGGUUUGAGGUACUUUACUUUUGAGUUUCGCGGACGAAACUCCUUUUUAGGAGGAGUGAAUGUAACACACUGGACCUUUGCAAAUUGCGAGGUUCGAGUGUUUGGACAGUGUUCUGAGUUUUUCCAGACUUUCUGGCGGGUCGUAGACAAUGUUCCGACCUAUGGUUCGAGUCCCGAGGAUUGAGGUCUGAAGCCUAGCACCAAAACCCAAAAAAUCAGACUUUUGGUUAGCUCUCGGGUAGCCUUCAUUGGGCUGUGUACUGGUACAGGGUUGAUGGCUGUACCAGUACAGGGCUGAUGGUUGUAUCGGUACGGGAUGGUGUACUGGUACACAGGCAGCUUUCCAGCCAACCCGAGGCUCGGGUUUGGCUUUUUCGUGGGAUGUGUACCGGUACGUGGGCCCGUGUACCGGUACACAGUGACAGUUUUUGAAUUGUCUAAACUGUAGGGGUGUUUUUGCAUUGUGGCUUCUCUAUAAUAGCACCCACGCCCCUAGGGCUUUCUCCUGAGCUUGCCACAGCAAGAAUAGAGGUAAGGGAGUGUCACGCCCGGGUACCAGCGGAAGCAUAUCCGGCACGUGCACAGACCCGCCAUACACCUGCAGUAUAUAAGGCGUCUACAAGCAACAAGUCGAUAGGAGUAAAAACAUAUAAUAAGCCUAUCCUGAUAUCAGAGCAUANUUGGAGCUUGGAUUUGGAGCUUUGUUGAGGGGAGAUCUUGGCACUUAGAGAGUUUAGAGCUUGGAUUGAAGCUUCUAAAAGGUAAUCUACUUGUUCUCUCCCUCUAGAUUGGAAUUUUAUUGAUGGUUUUGAGAUGAAACCCUAUAUUGGAAACUUAGGGUUUAUUUUAGGCAUUUUUGAUCUAGAGCUUUUGGAGCUAAAUUAAUUAGAUUAGAACCUUCCUUUGGGUUGGAUUGGAAGGAUUCUAGCUUUCUUUUAGAGCUUGUGAGAGUUUUUCUCCACCCUAGGCGAGAUUUUAGCCCUUUUGCCUUGAUGGUUAAUGUUUGAUCUUAUAGUUGAUCGUAAUGCCCGUGUAUCUCUUCGCUCAAUACUUUGAGAGUAUUUUGAGACUCGUGGACAACUCCGUUCGGCGAAACGAGGGACUACGCGACGGUUCGGUGGGUUUGUCCUAACCACACAAUGAGAAAAUCUCAUUUGUGAUGAUUUUAGUAUUGUUAAAUGAUAAAACAUGCGUAAUCAUGUUAGAUAUAUUUAUUAUGAAUUUUAGAAUGCUUAACAUGCCUAUGUAAUGUAUAGUAAAUUUUUGGACCUCUAUGUGGUAGAGUGCAUGCAUGUGAGAUAUAGCAUUCUAGUUGAGACUUGGAACCAUGAUUCCUAUUAUGAAAAUGAACAUUACUUUCAUGCAUUUAACCUUCUUGCCCAAUCGUGACAUUAGGAACAUUGGAAGCCUAGAGAGGCUUGGGGACUUAGACUAUUUGAGAAUUGGGCCAAUGUCAUAAAGAGGCGUUGGGCCCGGGCUAUAGUGAACAUUGGUAUUAAGGUCUUAAUUGGAACAUAGCAUAUGAAUUGGGCUUGAUUAGUUGUGAUGCUUAAGUGUCAUAAAGAGGCACUAAGCCAGUGAGUGUUGGGAUAUCACAUUGUGACAUAGAGCUAGACCGUUGGGUUACUAGUAGCUAUUGCCAUGUUUGAGACAUGAGGGUUGGAUACUUGAGCCUUUGACUACGCUUGCUUGCCAUUUGUGCUCAUUCGCACAUGCUUGUGAGGGUCGCUCCCUACAAGCCGGCACUCCGGAGUUAGCCUACGCGACCUAUGUUCGCUCGUGCGGUAUUGAGAAGCCUACGGGGUCGAGUGGGACAGACACAUUCCAAGAGUAGGAAUGUUGGGCUACCACAGGCACUUAGGCGGCGCAAGCUGGACUACCUUGGGUAGGUCCUUAAUUGAAAAUGGAAAUCGACACAGCGUUGAGUGUGUUAUAAUCACUACUAGAUAGAGAGUAGUAGUUGGAUUACUUGGAUUUACUUCUAGCAUAGUGUUGGACACUUGAGUAUACAUACAUACAUGUAGUAUGCUAGGAGAUGUUGUUUAUUACAUUCAUGUAAACAUUGUUUACCAUAGUAAAGCAUGAUCUUCAUAAUUUCAUAAAACAAAUCAUGAUUGUUACUUGUGGUCAUGUAGGGACAUACUUGUUCAUUAUGAAAUAAAGGUGCAUCUUAAUUGAGAUAAUGUAGUAUCUUAGCAUUUUAAUUAUGCUUUCUUAAAUGCAAAUUAUUCAUGAUUAUUGUUGCUCUCUUUUUGACGUACCCUUUCUUUGGGGCCUAGUGGUGCAUUGAGCUGAGGUCAGUAAUUGCCCACUGGGAACUAUAAAUUAUAGUUCUCACGCCCUCUGUUUUAUGUUUUCUUUCAGAGCCUUCCACGCCGGGAGAGGAUAGGGACCGUGGGAAGGGCGUUGCUUCGAGCUAGCUCUUCUGUGAGGGACGAGUUGAUACGUGGUUUACCUCUCGAUGUUUUUAUUUUGGAGAGGUUGAGAGCUGUACCAGUGUAAUAGAGACCACAUUUUUUGUACUAUUUUGGACAGAUAUUGUAUAACUUUAUGUUUCACUCUUAUUGCUUUAGUAUUAUCCUUUUACCUUGUUGUAGAUGAUAGAUAUAUUUGUGCUCUGAUAUCUCUAGAUGUUGUUUAUCUUUGGCUUAUUUUUUCCGCUGUUGAUGUAGACGCCUUAUAUGUGUUGACAUAUGGCCGGUCUGGGCACGCUACCGGGGGGGCCUCUGCCGGUCUCGGGGCGUGACAGCUUUGUUUCAGAGCGGAAGGAGAUGACUGACAAUUUAGAAAAAUAUUUUUCGGUACUUAAACAACCUGAAACUGGUGCACAUGGUCUGGGUAAUAGCGAAGGCCUUUCUGACGAAGACCCUACGGCACCACCAGGAUAUUAUGGGAAAUGAUGAAAAGUUUUGAACUGGAUUUCCUUUUUUGGUGUCUUUGCUUUUGUUCUUUAUUCCCCUUCUAUGUUCUUUUGGGCGUUUUUUUUUUUUUAGGGCCCCUACUUGUAUGGAUUUAGGUCUAUCAAUAGGGUUUCCUUCGAAUUUUUUUUUGGUCUUUCUCCUUCAGCAGUUUCUGUGUUGUCUCUUAAGGAGAGCUUUUUGUAGGCAAUCGGGAGAGCUUACUAAUAUUAAAUAUGUUUAUAACUUAUGUUUUUUGAUCUUGAUUUUUCGGGUUGUUGAUAAGGUGAUGAUGAUAUAAAAAACAAAUGUUGAUCUCUGGUGUGUUGGGCUAGAAAGUGGCCUUUUAAUAUUGAAUAGAAGAAUUAUAAUGCAAAUCAAUAAAUUUCAGCUACUGGUGGUGAAAAAAAAUGCCGAUGGAAAAAAAAUUGCCGAUUUAUGGUGUGAUAGAAUCGGGCGAUUGCUAUGUAAGAAGGGGCAAAAGAAUAGUUAUUUUCGUCCUCCAAUUUAUAUUUGACUAUAAAAUGUAUACUUAGAUGAAAAGUUUUGUAUACUUAGAUAUAUGCUUCUUCAUGUUCACUCUACCAGUUUAAACUACCAAUUCCUAAUAGAUUAUUUACAGAAGAUAUGGACAACAAAUUAUUAAGAGAGGAAAUAGAAUAUGACGUGGAUACUCUCGGGUGUAAGCAUUCAAAAUUAUUUAGUGGUUUAAAUGAUGAACAACUAACAAUUUAUCGUCAUGCGGUAGUCUCUGUUAACUAAUUUUUUUAUUUGUAAAUUCUAUUGUAAUAAUAAUAGAAAACUAUUAUUUAUCUUUUUUAAUACUGUAAUGAGCGUUUGUUUUAUUUUAAACUAAUUAAUUAAUUUUACUCAUUAGGUUUAUAUUUUUUUAGCAAGAAAUCUAAUUUAAUUUCAUAACAUAAUUUUUAAGAACUUACUUUACUGCUUUAUUUGUUAGUAAAUUUUAUAGAGUAAAAAGACAGAGAUUAAAUUUUCUUAUACACUAUCCAAAAUUAUUAAUGAAACUUCAAGCUAUCUUUUUUUGUCUCUAGGCCUAAUAAUGUUCAUAGCAGAAUAUUAACUCUUAGCAAGAAAGUGUGAAAUCACAAGAGUAAUAUUUAAAGUUUUUUCUUUUUUUAAUUCUUUUAAAUAUUUUUUGAAAACGUGAAUACACAUGGGACCACAAAAUCUCUUCUACAGUCUUACGUUAUGCAAUCUAUAUAUUUAAGACUAUAUUAUCUAAUAUUUAUUGUGUAUUGUGAUAUUUUAAAUAUUAGAUUUGUGGAACGCAGCGAAAGUAUUCGUUCGUACCUUUUUGCGGAAAUGAUUCGCGUUACAACGCGACGAGCCCGGAUCGUAGAGGUUGGUUCACGUAUCCUUGGAUCAUCUUUGAAGGCCUUCUAACACUCCGAACUUGCGGUGGAUCGAACUACAAACGAGCACAAUCGCAAAUCCACCGUUCAAGUCCCUCUAGAAUAAUAGGUUAAUGGAGGAUGUGGUUUCUCUCUAUUGUUUUCUUAUUCUCUCUCUUUUUUUCGUUCCAUACAUUACGUUAUGUGGGAUCGCCUGCAUAUUUAUAAGGGAUUCCAAAAUCCUAAUAGCGUAAGAGAUAAGGCCAAAUCGGUUAUUAACUGUUAUCCUAAUAUGAUUAGAAUUCAUCUCUAAUUAGCUUUCCAAUUUAAAAGCGAGAUUAAUCCUAAUCCAAUUAGAUAACAUAAUAGGUCGGAUUGAGCCCAAUCAUGGGUGCACCCGAUUUGAUUUAACCGAAUGCCAACAAGAUUAUAUCAUAAUAUUUUAAAAAUUAUAUAUAUAUAUAUAUAGUGUUUGAAAAUUAUAUGAACAUAAAAGGUACCUUACUGGUUACUCGCAUACCCACCCAACAGCUCGCUUAUGAGCCGGUAUGGGUAAAAAUAUUGUUAUUAAAUACAUGAAUUGGCAACCUUUAGAAGGCCUCCCAGGGUUUCGGGGUCCUGUGGGGGCCACAUAAUUUUUUAAAGAAUUAAUUGUACAUUAGGCCCCAUGUCACGCCCCGGAUUACACGUUUCCCCGGGCAACGCCAACAGACCCGCCGUAUAUAUAGGAAUUUUUUCUGUAUACGAAGCUAUAGCUGUACCUGUAAAUAAAUCAAGCUACAACCACAAGGUAAUGAGCUGCUAAACUGAAAAACAUAUAUAUAUAUAACCUCGAGGGUUCAAGUACAUACAACAAAAUGUAUACAACAACACUCGCUCCAGCAAGUAUCCAGACAACAUCCAUAUGUACAUAAAACCCCAAAACUACCUGUGGGAGGUACUCCUCUAGCCCUGCAACUCGUCUGGAAGGGAUCUAACUCGCAACUCCCUUUCCACGAUCAGUAUCAGAAACAGCAUCAACCGCAAAAGAAGGCUCUGCAAAAAGGGUCAACAACUAGGUGUGAGAACUACUGAAAAAAGUAGUCCUUAGUGGGUACUGCUACCGACCUCAACGGCUCACCUACUAAGUCUACAGAAGUAUGCUCAAGGAUAGUAAAGAAAGCUGAAAAUCUUUACAGCUAUAUGCCUCUAUACUAUUACGAUCCAACACUAGCUAUCUGUAGAAACUGUAGAAAAAUAUGAAAUCUCUGACCCAAUCUCACUAGGGACUGUGAACACACCCGUCCCGCAUGUCGAAGCUACACUAAUUAUCACCACAUUGGGUUGUCAGCAGAGAGCGAGUCCAAACAGGACAUAACGACAACAACGCAAAAGUAGAAAACCCGACUCCGGAGUGGCACUCGUGGGCGCUACCCAACCGAGUAUGCAAGCGUAUCUCUGUCGAGCUCAAUUAGGCUCUCACAGGCUAUAAUCAAAGCAGAAGGGUCUAACUGGUCUAAAAACCAUAAUUUACAUGCCCUCGGCACAAUCUAAUGCAAAAAUAGUAAACUGGGUCCACCGUCAACCAUAAUGGCACCCGACAGUCCGGAACAGUCUGUACACUACUGUAAAAAUAAACUCGGCACAUCCCAGCACGAGCGUAAAAUCAUUCUACACUAUUCUGGAUAUCCACCGUUUACAAACUGCGGCGAUACAAACAAACUACAGCUACUAAAGCUAAAUCUGGUAGUUUUAAGAAAAUGACAGUGUAGAAGUUAUGGUUUUCUCCUAAGUCAAAUCGAAGUCCAACAUGUAUAAUUUGUUUAAACCAAUAAUUAUGCUCCAAAUUCAGAUUUCAAAGAACAUGCAAAUCCACGAAUUCGAGCUAUUAAACAUGAUAUACGAAACCCAAUAAUACAUGCUGUCAACUGAGGCUUCGGAGGAAAUUCGAAAAUUCUGCUAACUUCAAUCCACCUCAAAAGCGCGUCCAACAACGGUGAGAAGUCAAAAGAAGCAGAACCCACACGCUCGCUCGGCCUCCAACUGUGCAACCACGACGUGCGUACGCUCGAACGACUCUUCGGUGCAACAUCGACGUCGAUUGAGCGUUGUGGGUCCCUCAUUAGUCCGAGUAUUUCGGAUGGCGUUCUGGUAGAUCGAACAGUGGAAGUAAAAUCACUGUUGAGGAAAUAGUUGGUUAGUAACCAAGUUUGGCCUGUGGGCCUAGUAGUACCUCGAUACAAGAUAAGAGAGGGUCAUGCUUGUGUCGUCAGCAUGUAUAGGCAGGAAUUGCCUAAUGCUGGACUUAGUGUGGAGCGCUGUAGAGGUGUGUGACGCCCGAGUAUAGUUACUCGUAGAGUGCGGAUUUAGUUCAGUCGGAUGAGUGUGUUGGCAGUAGCACUUGAGCAUCCCUAGGUGUGAAGCGUGCCUGGGAUCACUCGUAGGGCUGGUGGCUCGCACUAGGUGCAUAGGAGCCGGUAAUGAUACGUUUGCUCGAUAGAGCAUGUCGUGCGAUCGAUAGUAUACCGAGAGUGCGAUUGUGACCGAACCCGAGAAUUUGUAAUGGUUUGGGAUUCUAGUUGCUCCUGGUUAGAGUGUGUGCGAAUUCCCAAGUGAGAAUUUCGCCCCAAUGAUGAUUGGGUCUACGUUGGCGAGCGAGAGGCGCUGUGCGUACGUUGAGACAGGUUUAGGCGGUAGGCCUACGUAGUAUUGGUGGCCUUUGUGUUAGAUGUAUGCCUUAGAAGCCAGCCAGGCCGACACAUAUAUUCAUUCUAGGACAUAAAUUUGUAUUUGACUUUAAAAUAUUAUGAAUAAAUUUGGGUUAUUAUUUUCAUUCAUGUUGUGUAUGUGUCCAUGAAUCGUCCAAGGAAUUAAUAAGAUGAUGACAAAUAUUUUCAAGUGUUGAGAAUUUGAGACAUGUGUCAUUGGUGGUUAAUUUCUAAAUGCUCCCGAUCAAUGGAUCAUCACGGGGACGGUGAUUGAUCCAAUAAGAUUGGUGCAUAGGUCGUUUCCCUUUUGGGUAGACGAGUCUCGAGUCGACAGUGUGGGGACACUGAAGCGAAUAUGCAGGUGGUUGUUAGAGAACAAGGGUACCGAGCGUGACCAACGCGAGAAGUCACUUGGAUGUCUACUCACUCGUCAGUGACUUACUCAAUUGUUGCAGUAGUGUGACUGGUCCUUUGACCUGCGGUGCCUCGGCUAUUCACAAUGAGGUUACUGUAGUUUGACUGUACAUACACUUGGUCCCUAGCCAUUCGGGUCCUUGCGGUGCAUGUUGGCUGCAGUAGGUUCAUUGUAGGAAUAGGGUGCGCACUUAGAUGGAAUCUAUCUCCCUUGGUAGAUAGGGGUGUUAGUCCUCUGUGAUUUAUGAGACCGAGUUUAGAAGACCUUGGUCAGGGCAGUGUUAAUAGCGGAAAAGGGUUUCUGAUAUUAGAAACUCGAGUCGAAUAAAUUUAACAUAUGACAGACGAUGGGGUUUGACGAUUUAUUCCAUAACCUCCGUCUAGUCGGGACUCAUGAUAGAAGGAUUGUAUCACACGGUAACUGCACAAAGAGGUUCAGUAUUCCAUUCUACUGGAAUGCAACUACAUGCUGCUAGGCGUCACUGGUGGAUUGUGAGACUCAUGAGAAUUAUCUAGAUGAUUGAUAAUUCUCAUUGAGCUGAGUUGGAAUUGUUCCGAUCUACUGAAAGGAGUUUCAGUGAUAUUAUUGAUAGUGAUCAAAAUAUAUCUCACUAUCAAAUAGAAUAAAACCUAUGGGGUCACACACAUAAGAGGUUGUAAUUGAUCGGAUAGCUAGAUCGCAAUUAUUGAAUCGCUGGAGGAUCUAAUUGUCAAUAUGUUGAUAAUUGGACUAAUUUAUAAUUGUUACAAAUAAGUGGUAUUAAAGUAUAAAUGUUACAAAAGAAGACUUACUAAUAGUUAGUAAAAUAUAAGAGGACUUAUGUGCAAAUGUUGCAUUAUUAAUUUGAUACGAUCAAAUUAAUAUAAAGUUCAAGUCGAAUCAAAUUAGGAUUUGAUCGAUCUAACCAAUUAAGGAAAGGAUAAAUUUAAAUCUAGAUUUGUAGUUAUCCUUAAUGGUUAUUAUAUUAUUAAAAAAAAGGAUUAUAUUCCUCUAUAUAAUAAUACGGAAGUUUUAGAAAAUCGAAGCCGUCAUCUCUCUUCUCCUCUCUCUUCCAUAUUCUAGCAAAUAGACGUCCUUUUGCAAGGGAGCUAGCACCCGGUCAGGACAUCGAUCAAAUUAAGAACCUCGUGUGGAUACCUAUAGAGGCCGGACGCGUGUGCGGCUUCAAGAGAACCCUAUUCCACGAUCAUCAAAUUGAGAUGAAGAUCUAUCCGCGAAAAAGGUAAAGAUUUGAUCUUACUUUUCUCCUUUAAUUUUAAAGAACAUGAGGGAUCCUAAUUGCGUGGUUUUUGAGAUUUGAUCUGGAAAGUUUUCAAAAAUCAAAUUUAUUUGAUUUCUUUUCUUCCGCUGCGUGUUUACCAUACGCAACUUUCUAACACUUUGGUCCAACUAUGGAAACCGAGGAAAGCGAUUUGGCAGAUAGCUUUAUCAAGAGGUUUGGCUCGAAUUCACGAACGAAGCAUUCGUGUGAGCUCGUUGCGAGAGUGAAAUGAGAUUGACCGUGGCGUAUGGUAUUAGAAGAUAAAGUGCUCUUAGUGAGGCCUUGAGCUAGUAACAAGCCACGUGGAGUUCGAGGAUUGGAAUUGGAAUAUAUUCCCCGAAAGGAAUGUAAGUGCAAGGAUAAAAUCUCUGUGUGCGGAUUGGCGAGUGGUGUUGGAGCGCGUAGAGUCGUCGAGUUUCGACUUGCACUGNGGAAUUGUUCUGAUCCAUUGAAAGGAGUUUCAGUGAUAUUAUUGAUAGUGAUCAAAAUAUAUCUCACUACCAGAUAGAAUAGAACCUAUGGGGUCACACACAUAAGAGGUUGUGAUUGAUCGGAUAGCUAGAUUGCGAUUAUUGAAUCGCCAGAGGACCUAAUUGUCAAUAUAAUGAUAAUUGGACUAAUUUGUAAUUAGUGGUAUUAAGGUGUAAAUGUUACAAGAGAGGACUUACUAAUAGUUAGUAAGUUAUAAGAGGACUUAUGUGCAAAUGUUGCAUUAUUAAUUUGAUAAGAUCAAAUUAAUAUAAAAUUCAAGUCGAAUCAAAUUAGGAUUUGAUCGAUCUAACCAAUUAAGGAAAAGAUAAAUUUAAAUCUAGAUUUAUACUUAUCAUUAAUUGCCAUUAUAUUAUUAGGAAUAGGAUUAUAUUCCUAUAUAUAAUAUACGGGAGUUUUUAGAAAACCCUAGCCGUUAUCUCUCAUCUCUUCUCUGUUCCAUCUUCUAGCAAGAAAGACGUCCUUUUGCAAGGGAGCUAGCACCCCGGUGAGGACAUCGAUCAAAUCAAGAACCUCGUGUGGAUACCUAUAGAGGCCGGACGCGUGUGCGGCUUCAAGAGAACCGAAUUCCACGAUCAUCAAAUUAAGGUGAAGAUUUAUCCACGAAUAAGGUAAAGAUUCGAUCUUACUUUUCUCCUUUAAUCUUAAAGAACAUGAGGGAUCCUAAUUACGUGGUUUUUGAGAUUUGAUCUGGAAAGUUUUCAAAAAUCAAAUUUAUUUGAUUUCUUUUCUUCCGCUGCGUGUUUACCAUACGCAACUUUCUAACACUUUGGUCCAACUAUGGAAACCGAGGAAAGCGAUUUGGCAGAUAGCUUUAUCAAGAGGUUUGGCUCAAAUUCACGAACGAAGCAUUCGUGUGAGCUCGUUGCGAGAGUGAAAUGAAAUUGAACGUGGCGUAUGGUAUUAGAAGAUAAAGUGCUCUUAGUGAGGCCUUGAGCUAGUAACAAGCCACGUGGACUUCGAGGAUUGGAAUUGGAAUAUAUUCCCCGAAGGGAAUGUAAGUGCAAGGAUAAAAUCUCUGUGUGCGGAUUGGCGAGUGGUGUUGGAGCGCGUAGAGUCGUCGAGUUUCGACUUGCACUGCCACCAAGAAGGACGGAAACCGUAAUGCACUUUGUGAGAUGCACUGUCACGCCCUACGACCACCCGCUAAUUUGGCCGAGGUCGCGGCACCGCCAACAGCGCCGAACGGACAUGGUUUCCCCUGUACUGCGGACAGAGUCUCCCCUGUACGUUCAAGGCAUCGCAAUCAAUACAAUGUAUGAAGUUCCAACCAGGAACACAUUUCAAUCAAGAUUGCAUAAGGAAGGUAUCAAACAACAUAAAUACAUCCUAUGUUAUCACAAGCAUUCACAUUCACUUUUUACAUCCCAAAUACAAAUCUUUUUCAUCCAAAUGCAAUCUAAGUUGUUACAUCAUUUACGUAUUACAAAUUUGAUACAUUGUGUUCUUUUCAUUUCCUAUACCCCUAAGCUAUGUCGACGGGGUACUGCUAGCUCUGGUCUCUAGGGUAGGGCGCUAUCUACGGAGCUACGCCCUUUCCUCGCGCCGCCGCGCUGCUCACGUGCGAACCUGUAACACCCCAAAAUAACGUGGGGUGAGAACCAACUCUAUGGUUCCUAGUGGGUAUGGCCACCCAAGGGAAAAGCACGACCAAAAGGUCCAAGGAGGCACUAUGAUCAUGUUAGUCCAAAAACAUCUAUAGAUAUAUAUAUCAUUAUGUUAUUAUGCAACUAACAGAUAACAUGCCUCACAAUAUGCAAUAUGAACAUUACGCAACAACUAGUAGAUCUAUUGAUUCUACGUUCAACUUUACUAACUUUAGCUCAUGUCAUUUAGCCUCUAAGGUUCUACUACCUUAGUUCACAACUCAAGUUCAACUUGCUUCUAAGGUCUCUAUUACCUUAGCUCUUACCUUUAUCACUAGCUUGUAAGGAUUCCAUUAACCUA
rnacentral:lncRNA from 1 species